GUUCACAUGGCAAAGGAUAAAAAGAAAAUAACACUUUAAAGAUGAUUGAAGAGGAUUAUUUUACCUGUAGAUGAAGAGGAAUAAAAGAUGAAUUACAUUCAAGCUUUCUCUGUGUCACGGAAAAAUGUGCACCCACUGAUACUCAUCAACACUUGCUGAAUGUUUAUGGAGACCAAACAGUGAAUUUGAGAACAGCGAGGCAGUGGGUGGUGCAUUUCAGCAGUGACAAAAAUUUGAAAGACAAGCACAACUGCCACACUACAAAAUGAGGAGCAUCUUGAUUGACUCAUCCAUGCGAAUUGCCUAGUGGUCGUGGCUAAGUUCAAGGAGUGUUUUGAAGCUGAGAAUUUGCUUUAUUAAAUACUGUUAUUGUUCUCUUUGUAUCUGUUGUAGUUUCAGUGGAAAGAAAAUGGAAGUAUUACUUUCUGAGUGACCUAUGUAAAUAAUGGAAAACCAACCAACCAAACUAAAAACUUUGGUUACAUAAGAUUAAAAAAGGAAUAUAGAUGCCGCAAAACUGUCAAGGGAUACAGAAAGGCAUUCAUAUUAAAAUAGAUUGAGCAACGACUUAUAGUGUGACACUACAGAAAACAUGAUUAAGGAUUGUAUAUGCAGGGGUGCCAUGUCCUUGAUCAUGUUGAGGGAUAAUUCCUCUGGAUAGUACGUUGCAGCUGAAAUGCUGUGUAUGGACUGCUCCUGUCAAUAACAAGGAGAAAAAAAAACAAAAAGUCAAAAAACUUAAUCAAGUUAGCAGAUAUUCAUGGAAGAGGUUUGAAGCAGCUCAAGGUUAAAGAGUUGAAAUGUCUGAAUAAUAAGGAAUAAAAGGCUAAUUUAUGACUAAACAUUUAAUUUUGAUGAUGGAGGUCAAUGGGAGUUUUGUCAUUAACUGUGAAGGGAGAUGUAUCAGCCUUUAGGAGAAGGAUAUUUACUACUAUCUCUGUCAUCAUCUUACCACAUAUUAUUUUUAUAUUCUUGAUCUACAAGAAAAAAGAAAAAAAAUAUAUAUGUAUAUAUAUUUAUAUGAGUGGUGUAGUUGAAAGUAAAGAAAUCACUUUGUUUUAAAUAGUCUUCCUAAUUAUAGAAUCAUAGUAUCAUAGAAUCACAAGGUUGGAAAGGAUUGCCUAGUCCAAUUGUCCUCCCAUUAACCUUGCUACCACAAGCUACUAAACCUUAUCUCAUAGCUCCUCAUCCAGAUGCCUCUUGAACACUGCCAGGGACGGCGACUCCACUACCUCCCUGGGCAGGCCAUUCCAGGGCCUGACCACUCUCUGAGAGAAAAAGUUUUUCCUUAUGUCUAACCUAAACCUCCUCUGGUACAACUUGUGGCCAUUGAAGAGGCCAAAACCCUCCCCAUCACAACCUCUCUUCAGGAAGUUGUAGAGUACCAUGAGGUCUAUUGUAGGGGCAAUUAGGUCUCCCCUGAUCCUCCUCUUUAUCAGACUAAAAAAUCCCAACUCCCUCAGCCACUCCUCAUAAGACUUGUGCUCCAGACCCCUCACCAGUUUCAUCAUCCUUCUCAUUCUAGGGCCUCAACGUCUUUCUUGCAGUGAGGGGCCCAAAC
ensembl:lncRNA